UUUUUGCACCAUGCGUGAGGGAUGGGAGUGGAAAUCCUUUUUGUCUGUGUUGAAGUUUCUUUUGCAGACUAAGGGCGAAUGACAAAAAGAUUGCAACAGACAGCCCGACCCGAG
rnacentral:sRNA from 1 species